AGCAGCCGCGGUAAUUCCAGCUCCAAUAGCGUAUAUUAAAGUUGUUGCAGUUAAAAAGCUCGUAGUUGAAUUUCGAGACCGGUUUAUUGGUCGUGCUUUUGUACGUACUGGUAUUAUUGGUUUCUCCUUUCUGACGAAUCUUAAUGCCAUUAAUUUGGUGUUUUGGGGAAUCAGGACUGUUACUUUGAAAAAUUAGAGUGUUUAAAGCAAGGCUCACGCUUGAAUACAUUAGCAUGGAAUAACGGAAUAGGACGUUUGAUUCUAUUUUGUUGGUUUCUAGGAUCGACGUAAUGAUUAAUAGGGAUAGUUGGGGGCAUUAGUAUUCAAUUGUCAGAGGUGAAAUUCUUGGAUUUAUUGAAGACUAACUACUGCGAAAGCAUUUGCCAAGGAUGUUUUCAUUAAUCAAGAACGAAAGUUAGGGGAUCGAAGACGAUCAGAUACCGCCGUAGUCUUAACCAUAAACUAUGCCGACUAGGGAUCGGAUGAUGUUAAUUUUUUAAUGACUCA
rnacentral:rRNA from 1 species